GCUUGUCUCAAAGAUUAAGCCAUGCAUGUCUAAGUAUAAGCGACUAUACUGUGAAACUGCGAAUGGCUCAUUAAAUCAGUUAUGGUUUAUUUGAUGGUACCUACUACUUGGAUAACCGUAGUAAUUCUAGAGCUAAUACAUGCAGGAAGACCCGACUCACGAAGGGUUGUAUUUAUUAGACUUAAGCCAAUAUUCCUUGUGUCUAUUGCGAUGAUUCAUAAUAACUGAUCGAAUCUCAAAUUUGAGAUAAAUCAUUCAAGUUUCUGCCCUAUCAGCUUUCGAUGGUAGUGUAUUGGACUACCAUGGCAGUAACGGGUAACGAAGAAUUAGGGUUCGAUUUCGGAGAGGGAGCAUGAGAAACGGCUACCACAUCUAAGGAAGGCAGCAGG
rnacentral:rRNA from 1 species